AGUCAUUCUUCAGCAAAUCCCGGAAGUAUUGUUUUUAAAGGGACAGAAUCAUUUCAUGGGCGAGGGCUUUGGACCAAGAGCCAAGCAGAAAAUAGCAAAGGCCCGUUGGCAGAGGUGCCUAUAGGACGUGGAAAGGAGACGAAAGGCAUUGAGAAAGCAGGAUUUGGUGUCCUCAUCGCUCUGAUGGGAUGUUAGUUUGCUGACUGCUGCGGCCCUGGUCAUUGUCAUCGUUAUAUGUGUUUGCUGUGGGGGAGGAACAGAAAGAAAGGCCAGCACUCCCUCAUUCCAUGCAAGUAACCUUUCAACUCCUCACAGUCUUGAAGCAACAACAAGCACGACUCUAGAGCUCCGACAGAGAGGACGGAGAAACCGAGGAGGAGGAGGAGGAAAGGGCAGGAGUUCUUAGAGAGGUUGUGUC
rnacentral:lncRNA from 1 species